rnacentral:rRNA from 1 species
CGAAGGUUGCAAGCGUUACUCGGAAUUACUAGGCGUAAAGGGCAGGUAGGUGGUUUGGUUAGUCUGUUGUGAAAGCUCCUUGCUUAACGGGGAGAGGUCAACAGAUACUGCCAGGCUUGAGUCUAGGAGAGGGUACUGGAAUUCCCGGUGUAGCGGUGAAAUGCGCAGAGAUCGGGAGGAACACCAAUGGCGAAAGCAGGUACCUGGACUAGUACUGACACUCAGCUGCGAAAGCUAGGGGAGCAAACAGGAUUAGAUACCCUGGUAGUCCUAGCCGUAAACGAUGCACAUUAGGCGUGAGGGGUAUCGACCCCCUUCGUGCCGAAGCAAACGCAUUAAAUGUGCCGCCUGGGGAGUACGGCCGCAAGGUUG